rnacentral:snoRNA from 1 species
AAGACUAUACUUUCAGGGAUCAUUUCUAUAGUAUGUUACUAAGGAAGUUCCUCUGGACGUGUAAGGCAAUAAAUAAAU